rnacentral:lncRNA from 1 species
AUUGUGAUUAGGUCCAAUUUUUAUGACAAUCUUAAGGAUUUAUCUUUUUAUUAAUUAAACCCUAAAUUGCUAGUUUCUAUCGAGGUAGCAUUCAUCUGGACUGAGGACUAAUUUUAAUGAAAUGAAGAGGUGAGUUUAUGUUACAAACGGUGAUGUUGUUCAUACACGAGAAGUGCACUCAAAGAAAAAAAGGGUGUCAUGUGUAUUGAAGGAAUUGAACGAACUCAUUUAGCUUCAUAUGAGAGAAUGUGGUAAAACAACCAAGUAAGUGAUUGCAAUUAUGUUUAAUAUUUUAAUUUGAUUGUCACAAUUUUUUAUGAGCUAUUGUGUGUGUACUAGUACUGAUAAAAAUGGUUAUUGUCUACAAACUUUCAUGAGAAUAGUAAAAAAUUCAGAAUGAGAAAAUUAUGCAACUUGCAUAAAUAAGUAUUGGUCCUUUUAUAUGUUACAACGGAGAACAAGUUUCAAUUAUUAUUAAUUUUGUGUUUGUGAGUUAGUGAGAAAGAUAUAAGAAAGACUCCCUAUUUGAUAGAGACUUUGACAAACAAAAUUUAUAGAUAUAUAC